rnacentral:rRNA from 1 species
GAUGAACGCUGGCGGCGUGCCUAAUACAUGCAAGUCGAGCGAACGGACGAGAAGCUUGCUUCUCUGAUGUUAGCGGCGGACGGGUGAGUAACACGUGGAUAACCUACCUAUAAGACUGGGAUAACUUCGGGAAACCGGAGCUAUACCGGAUAAUAUUUUGAACCGCAUGGUUCAAAAGUGAAAGACGGUCUUGCUGUCACUUAUAGAUGGAUCCGCGCUGCAUUAGCUAGUUGGUAAGGUAACGGCUUACCAAGGCAACGAUGCAUAGCCGCCCUGAGAGGGUGAUCGGCCACACUGGAACUGAGACACGGUCCAGACUCCUACGGGAGGCAGCAGUAGGGAAUCUUCCGCAAUGGGCGAAAGCCUGACGGAGCAACGCCGCGUGAGUGAUGAAGGUCUUCGGAUCGUAAAACUCUGUUAUUAGGGAAGAACAUAUGUGUAAGUAACUGUGCACAUCUUGACGGUACCUAAUCAGAAAGCCACGGCUAACUACGUG